AUUGAACGCUGGCGGCAGGCCUAACACAUGCAAGUCGAGCGAGCGGCGGACGGGUGAGUAAUGUCUGGGAAACUGCCUGAUGGAGGGGGAUAACUACUGGAAACGGUAGCUAAUACCGCAUACCAUCAGAUGUGCCCAGAUGGGAUUAGCUAGUAGGUGGGGUAACGGCUCACCUCAGCACCGCGGCCUAGAUGGGCUGUGAGGAUGACCAGCCAACCUGGGACUGCGACACGGUCCAGCGUCCUACGGGAGGCAGCAGGGGGGAAUAUUGCACAAUGGGCGCAAGGCUGAUGCAGCCAUGCCGCGUGUGUGAAGAAGGCCUUCGGGUUGUAAAGCACUUUCAGCGGGGAGGCGUUACCCGCAGAAGAAGCACCGGCUAACUCCGUGCCAGCAGCCGCGGUAAUAC
rnacentral:rRNA from 1 species